rfam:Triticum aestivum genome assembly, contig: Triticum_aestivum_CS42_TGACv1_scaffold_569515_7AS
CAAAUACUCCCUCCGUCCCAAAAUUCUUGUCUUAGAUUUGUCUAGAUACGGAUGUAUCUAACACUAAAACAUAACUAGAUACAUCCGUAUUUAGACAAAUCUAAGACAAGAAUUUUGGGACUGAGGGAGUAUAAG